AUAAAACGGCCAACUGCUAGAACAAAGGUUAUGUAAAGACCCCAGAUGCUGAACUUGCUGAGAGUGUCCCCCAGAAUGCCCUCUGCAAGAAAGAGAUUACAAUGGCUACUGGUCCAGUGAAAUGUCCACAUUUGCUGACAUUUAUUGGCUGGAUGUCGUGGAAGGACCACCAAUCGUAAUUUUCACGGUUCAAGAUGAGAUCAGCGCUGACAAAAUUGUCCUGUAAAUGAUCAUCGGGUCAGUUGUUUGAAUAAAAAUUCAUACAAACAUAGAAAUGAUAUCAGUUGCUACCGCCUCAGUAGAUGAAGAACAAUGACCCCAGAUCCUGAAAAUCUCAAUCAGGUUGCGUUUCCGUUUGCUUUCCUCCGAAUCACGGAUAUGCUGUAACUGUUCAGUUUUCCAAGCUGCUUUCUUUUCCUGCUCGUGGAC